GUUCACUGAAAUCAGCUUUCCUAACGUCUAGUACUUUCACCCUACUAGUUACAGGCACAAACAUUUUGGCCCUGCUCCGUAGCUACUAUUUUCAUUUAUAGCAGUGCCUGGCUACCUUUGCAGACAAUUUGCCAGUUGGCUCCAGGAAAGCCUUCCUGGCCCUUAGCUCAGAGGUGCAAGCAAUAGCCAAAACACCUCUGCUUUAGAUGUGGCAGCGCUGCCUCACAAGCCGUGGGCAUGGCACGGUCACGAAACAUUGCUCCUGGCUCCAGGGGUCCUGAUUCCUGAGGGAUGUGAUUAGCACUGAGGAGAGCCGUCCUUUCAAGAGAUUGCAAAAGAGAUUUUGUGCUAUAUACCUGGAAGCAGUUGAAUGCAUCCUUCCUUUGUUCGGUGUGUGCACACCUGCUCCUCAGUGAAAGCAUAGGCACCAGGUCUUUUCCAGUGAGAGAGACCUGCACCGAUUCUCUACUCCUACUCUAUUUAUUGGCAGUCCGCAAAGCUAAUAUGAAUCCUGGCACAUGAUGUACAGAGAAAACCAGUUACAGGGUUUGUACUGUUAGUUAACUGGUGGGAGAGGGAAGGGGAGAAGGAGAGCCGGAGAGAGCGAGCACGUGCACAGGCAUGCAGUCCUAAAAGUACCUGGGUCAAAUCACACUAAAACAUGUGUUACAGUUGUACCAGGAACGGCUGAAUUAAAGAAAGUAUAACCUUGUGUCUCUUUGUCUUUCCAAGCAUCCUCCAAUACCUUUUUAAUAGGGAUAAUCAUAGGAAGCGUGAUUCUCCUUCUGCUUAUCACCAUUGCAGUGUGUAGUAUUGCCUGUCGCUUUCGAAGGUCUGGUCAGAAAUCACAGACAAGCAAGAAAAAAAACGAUUCUUCUGCUAGUGUAGGCAAGGGCAGUCAAAAGUAAUCAGGAGCAAUUACGUCUUUGUGCACCAAAAAGGCCAGACCAGCAUUUUGCCAACUGCUGAGGUAGCGUUUCAUAAUUUCCAGCUCCGUGGGAUUCAUCAAAAGCCUUCUUAUAUCCUCAACCCUAUCAGCGUCUGUCUAUUUUUGUUCACCGGUUAAAAUCUUGAUUUUGCUUAAAUAAAUGUGUUUUCUCCUUGUUUCUGUGUUUCUUUUUGUA